UGGGGAAUAUUGCACAAUGGGCGCAAGCCUGAUGCAGCAACGCCGCGUGAACGAUGAAGGUCUUCGGAUCGUAAAGUUCUGUUGCAGGGGAAGAUAAUGACGGUACCCUGUGAGGAAGCUCCGGCUAACUACGUGCCAGCAGCCGCGGUAAUACGUAGGGGGCUAGCGUUAUGCGGAUUUACUGGGCGUAAAGGGUGCGUAGGUGGUCUUUCAAGUCGGUGGUUAAAGGCUACGGCUCAACCGUAGUUAGCCUCCGAAACUGGAAGACUUGAGUGCAGGAGAGGAAAGUGGAAUUCCCAGUGUAGCGGUGAAAUGCGUAGAUAUUGGGAGGAACACCAGUAGCGAAGGCGGCUUUCUGGACUGCAACUGACACUGAGGCACGAAAGCGUGGGUAGCAAACAGG
rnacentral:rRNA from 1 species